GUGGUUUUGAUUAUCUCCGUACCUUUUUCGUGUUUUUGUGAAAAACUUGUUUUGUUUGUUAUCAAAAGUGUAAGGAAAAGAAUGCGUCUAUAUACGGGACUCCCACUCACAAACUUGUAUAAUUUAUGCUUUCAAUACUUCCUCCUUCACGUGUGGUCUCCAGACCUGACCCCUUGGGAUUUUUUUUUGUGGGGGAGAAUCAAAGACCUUGUAUUUCGAAAUCGCCCAACUACUAGAAAGGAAUUGGAGAGGUUCCUACUGCAUUCAUUCAGCUUCGUGCGGUAAAACUUCUUAAUGCAGAAAAUAGCGUCAAUAGAAGAUGUACGAUAUGUUUACAAGAAAA